rnacentral:rRNA from 1 species
AACGAACGCUGGCGGCAGGCCUAACACAUGCAAGUCGAACGGGAGCUUCGGAAGUAGUUGCGCACGGGUGCGUCACGCGUCGGAACGUUCCCUUAGGUACGGAAAAACACUUUGACAGGGGUGCUAAUACCGGAUAAUUUCCUCGGAUCAAAGAUUUAUCGACCUAGGAUGCGCCGGCGUUGGAUUAGCUGGUGGGUAUGGUAAAAGCCUAUCAAGGCUACGCUCGAUAGCUGGUCUGAGAGGAUGAGCAGCCACUCUGGGACUGAGACACGGUGCAGACUACUACGGGAGGCAGCAGUGGGGGAUAUUGGAAUAUGGGCGAGAGGCUGAACCAGCUAUGGCGGGUGAGUGAUGAAGGCCUUAGGGUUGUAAAGCUCUUUUAUACGGGAUGAUAAUGACGGUACCGAAAGAAUAAGCACCGGCUAACUUCGUG